GAGAGUGUAGCUCAGCAGGUAGAGCAUCGCCCUUUUAAGGCGGGUGUCCCGGGUUCGAGUCCCGGUGCCCUCA
rnacentral:tRNA from 1 species